CGGAGAACGGGGAGGAGAGGAGAGGAGACUUAGAUCAGCAUCAGCAUUCCAGGGGAAGUAUGCUGAAGAGGGAGUUGAUGGACCCACGGACCACUCAGCUCAAAGUGAAUAUCACUAAAGAGAAUCUUAGCGGUGCCCGAGAAAAUAUAGAAAAGAAGGUUUUAUUCAGAUCUGUUGCAAAAAGUACAGGGACCCAGAGCAAGAUUCUACUGGUGGGGAAGAGAGCAGGGCCUCAACACUGCAUGCAGUCAGCAAACUGAAGCUGAUAGCCCAGCCGCAGGUCAGUGUUGGUGAAUGGAAAAUUACUGAGGAGACAGCUUCUGGCUCAACCCAUCUGACAGGAUUCUUGAGGAAGGGUACUCAGACCUGACCCCUGGGGGAUGGUGGAGAUGGAGACUGAUCAGAUAGGAGGGUGGACAGAGACUGGGGACAAGGAAUUCUAACUAAACUGACUUCACAGAGGUCUUUGCCAAACUGGAUUCUCAAGGAAGUUCUCAGAUGGACCUGACAGGCAAUCGGAAGCCUGGCCAGUUUGCCCAAGCAAAGAGUCUUUGUCUACCUUUUGGGGUGGGGGGUGGAGGGGAUGGGGGUGGCUGGAGGUUAACUACAAGACAGGAGUAGAGAAUCCACAGGGCCUGCUGCGCUUGGGAGAUCUGAAAAGGCUGCGGGAGCACUGUAGAAGGUGCUGAGCAGGAAGCCCUGGGGAUAGAUACAGUGGGAGAUCCUGCAGUCGAUAGCGCAGAGAAUACCAGAAAGUUCCUAGUUAGGCUGAGCAGAAACGCAGAGGGGAGUGGGGCAGGCAACAGACAGCGUCAGGGUGGGAAAGGAGGGAGAGACUGAGAUAGAGCGAUUGGUGACCAAAGGCAUUGGAUGACAGGUUUAGAGAUGGAGAGCUAGAAAAUGCGCAUGUCUCAGGGAGCUUGAGAUCCAGUUUCUGGAGUUCACAGUUUAUUUCUAUCUGUAUUAUGUCUCUUCUGGCCUGGAAAAGAAGAAGAGGAACAAAGCCUUGGGGGCGUGGGGAGGGGGACAACGGGACAGCAUGGUACAUUGCCUGCAGGGCCCUGCCUCGGUUAAUUGUUCCCUGAAACUGUGGCGCCCUCUCCUGGUAUAUGGUAUUUACAUACAUGGGCAUCCUGCCCCAGCGUUCAUUUUCUCAGCCAUCACCCAAAGGCAAACGUAGCUGAACGGUUGGAAGCACUUUGUGAGCGCUGGGAGUCCCCUGCAAAGCAAAUGUCAGGACUGGAGCCCACACCAACGGUCUCCCUCUCUUGAACCCGGAAACCAGCCGGAACGUUCUCCUGUGUUGCUGCAGCGUGCAGGGGUGAGAGAGGAUGCGGAUCGGAAACGGAGGCUUGAGGGUAUCCGGCAUCUAGAGGGGAGCGUGGACAUGCCAAGCCCCGCAAACUCUUUGUGAACAGGAAACCCCUAGAAGCGCCCUAACAGCCAGAUUCUGCCCUGCUUUUCUGACACACUCCCUGAUGCCACCAUGGGUGCCAGCUUCUAACUGCUUGGAGAAGCAGGGAAGGCGCACAGAACAGGAACUGCAAUUUGGGAGAGGAACAGGUCCAUUCCAGCUUACAGUUUAUAGUUUAUCACAGAGGGAAGUCCAGGCAGGAAUUCGAGGCAGGAGGAACCUGGAGGCAGGAGCUGAAGCAGAGAUCACUGGGGUUUCCUUCUCCUUCUUCUUCUUCUUCUUCUUCUUCUUCUUCUUCUUCUUCUUCUUCUUCUUCUUCUUCUUUUAGUUUUUUAUUUUUUAUAUAUUUGAAUUACAAACAAGAUUGAAUUACAUGAUGAUCCCAGUUCCCUUCUCCCUCCCUUCCUCCUCUACCACCCCCCAACUAAAAUCCUACCUGUCAUAUGUCCUUUCUUCUAAUCUACACCUGACUCAAAAUUUCUGCUUCCUCAUGACCUCUGCAUCCUUCCUUUUCUUCCCUUCUCACUUUUGUAGCUCCCUCCCCCCUCUUCCCAUGCUCUCAAUUUGCUCAGGGGAUGGUGACCCUUUCCCCUUCUCCAGGGGACCAUGUAUGUCUCUCUUAGGGUCCUCCUUGUUUACUAGUUUCUCUGGCAGUGUGGAUUGUAGGCUGGUAAUCCCUUACUCCAUGUCUAAAAUCCACAUAUGAGUGAGUACAUAUCAUGUUUGUCUUUUUGUGAUUGGGUUACCUCGCUCAGAAUGGUUUCUUCUAGUUCCAUCCAUUUUCCUGCAAAUUUGGAGAUUCC
rnacentral:lncRNA from 1 species